GACGAACGCUGGCGGCGUGCUUAACACAUGCAAGUCGAACGGAAAGGCCCUGCUUUUGUGGGGUGCUCGAGUGGCGAACGGGUGAGUAACACGUGAGUAACCUGCCCUUGACUUUGGGAUAACUUCAGGAAACUGGGGCUAAUACCGGAUAGGAGCUCCUGCUGCAUGGUGGGGGUUGGAAAGUUUCGGCGGUUGGGGAUGGACUCGCGGCUUAUCAGCUUGUUGGUGGGGUAGUGGCUUACCAAGGCUUUGACGGGUAGCCGGCCUGAGAGGGUGACCGGCAAGAGGGGGGCAGAGAAACGCCCAGGCCCCAGAGGGGAGGAAGGGGGGGGAAUUUUGGCAGAUGGGGAGGAGGCCGAAUGAAGCACCCCCGGGGGCGGAAGGGGGGCUUUCGGGUUGAAAACGUCUUCCGCGUGGGAAGAAGGGGGAGGGAGGUAAAGGGGUAGAAAGCACCGGGAAAGCUCGGCC
rnacentral:rRNA from 1 species